AGAUAUCAUAGGAAUUGUCGUGGACAUUGGAUACAGCCAGAUUUGUAAUUCGAGCAAAAAACAGCAGAUCAAUUUGGUCCUCAAGGAUUUAGGAAACAACAUCCUGAAUUGUACUUUAUGGGAAAGUUAUGCCGUCCAGUUUCAUGAUUUCAAUAGUUCAAGAAAGGAUUUCAAAACACCAACUGUAAUCGUCUUUCAAUUUGCCAGAGUCAAAGAGGAAGGAAAAUAUCCUUUAUGUGUCUUAAACACAUUCAACGUUACUAAAUUACACAUUAAUGAUGAUCUUCCUGAAAUUCAGAACUUCUUAAAGAG